rnacentral:rRNA from 1 species
AUGCCCAGUCCUAGCAGCAACCAUCUCCCCUUGCCAGCACAAACUGCUGUUGAGGAUCUCAAACUGACCAUUCAUGCUCCGGUGAGACGUGUGAGUCAAGAACCAACCAACGAGGGAUCCGUGGCUCCAAGACGACGCCUCAAAGAAUGGAACAAUGUCGAAGACGCUACCGUCGUCCGAUCCAGAGAAACCGGAUCCGAGGCUUUUAUCCUGACAGUACUUAGGGUGGAUGAGGUGUGGAGGCUUCACGAUGACGCCUCCAAGAUAAAUGACACCCUAAGGCGUCGACGUCAUUUGUGCGAACAAAAGCCAGCACAGGGCUUUUGCCGUAGCAUCACAACUCAGCAUCCCCACUGA